UCUCUCUCUCUCUCGUCUAACCUGACGACUAGUCGAUUACCAUUACACCAGUCAACCUUCUCUCUCAUGCUGGAAUUUUCAUUUUCUUUUUAUUUUUCAAAUCAUUCAAAAAAUCACUUUCUUCAAUCAACUUUUUCAAUUUCAUUUUUUGUUUCUUCUCUCUCUUCUUCUUCUCUUAAGCUCAUUCAAUUCCAACUCUUAUUACCAUGCCACCACAACAAUUUCGUCGCCCAAUCAACUUCCAUUCAACCCUAUUUAUCUGAUUCCAAAUUAUUAACCAAAAAACUAGGUUUUUGUUUUGUUCACACAGGUA